CCGAGUUUACAACUCCCAAACCCCUGUGAACAUACCUUUAUGUUGCCUCGGCGGAUCAGCCCGCGCCCCGUAAAACGGGACGGCCCGCCGCAGGAAACCCUAAACUCUGUUUUUAGUGGAACUUCUGAGUAUGAAAAACAAAUAAAUCA
rnacentral:misc_RNA from 1 species